rnacentral:rRNA from 1 species
GACGUAGGGCGCGAGCGUUGUCCGGAUUUAUUGGGCGUAAAGAGCUCGUAGGCGGCUUGUCGCGUCGUUCGUGAAAACCCGGGGCUCAACUCCGGGCUUGCGGGCGAUACGGGCAGGCUAGAGUUCGGUAGGGGAGACUGGAAUUCCUGGUGUAGCGGUGAAAUGCGCAGAUAUCAGGAGGAACACCGGUGGCGAAGGCGGGUCUCUGGGCCGAUACUGACGCUGAGGUGCGAAAGCGUGGGGAGCAAACAGG